rnacentral:ncRNA from 1 species
UAUUUUGUGUAUUAGCCUGUGGUAGUGAAUUAGCUGUUUCUUUUGUUUAUACAUGAAGCAAAAUUGGUAUAGGGAGGAUAUUGGUUAAAAGUUUGGUUGGUUUUUGAUAAAGAAUUUGAUUUUUAGCUGAGGUUUUUUAUUUUUUAGAAAAUGAGUCAUAUUAAUCCCGUCUUCAGUAGGAGGUAUUGAUAAAUAAUUGAAAGAUUGAUUAAGAAAUUGAAAGUUAAGGGGAGAAAUAAAGUGCCAGCACUUGCGGUCAUACUUUAUCCUUUUGUUAAUUAAUUUGUAAGAAAGGGAUAUUUAAAUUAAGUUUGUUGAAUUUUUUUUUGUAGGUAAAAUUUGAAAAGAAAUUUAUUUGAGUUGUUUAAAAAUUUGUUCUUAAAAGACUGUUAUUAAAGACAAGGAUUUGUGACCCUUUUAUUUAUGUUGUAUAAAAUUCUUACGGGGAUUACGAGCAAUAGGGCUUAAAACUCGAACAGGUUGGCGGUGUUUUAUAACCAUUUAGGGGAACUUGGCGAUUAAACUGAUAAUCCUCGUAUACUUUACCUUAUAUUUUUUUUACAUACCGCCGUCAUUAAUUAUUCCUGGAUGGGAAAGAGUAUAGUUAAAAUUUUUUUAAAGAAAAAAGUUCAGGUAGACGUGUAGAGUUUUUUAAGGGUUUAGCUGAGUUACAAUUAUGAAGUAAUUUAACGGAUUAAUAUUUGAAAUAGUAUUAUGAAGGUGUACUUUUUAGUAAAUUGUAGAAGUUUUAAAAAGAAUAAUUGAAUUGAGUAAGUAAAAUGUGUACAAAUCGCCCGGCGUUCUCGAAUAGAUUGUGUUGAAGUUGAGGUAAGUCGUAACAUAGUGAUACUAGUAGAAACUGGUAUUAAA